rnacentral:rRNA from 1 species
ACAGGUUUCCGUAGGUGAACCUGCGGAAGGAUCAUUACCGAGUGCGGGCCCCUCGGGGCCCAACCUCCCACCCGUGUUGCCCGAACCUAUGUUGCCUCGGCGGGCCCCGCGCCCGCCGACGGCCCCCCUGAACGCUGUCUGAAGUUGCAGUCUGAGACCUAUAACGAAAUUAGUUAAAACUUUCAACAACGGAUCUCUUGGUUCCGGCAUCGAUGAAGAACGCAGCGAAAUGCGAUAACUAAUGUGAAUUGCAGAAUUCAGUGAAUCAUCGAGUCUUUGAACGCACAUUGCGCCCUCUGGUAUUCCGGAGGGCAUGCCUGUCCGAGCGUCAUUGCUGCCCUCAAGCCCGGCUUGUGUGUUGGGCCCCGUCCCCCCCGCCGGGGGGACGGGCCCGAAAGGCAGCGGCGGCACCGCGUCCGGUCCUCGAGCGUAUGGGGCUUCGUCACCCGCUCUAGUAGGCCCGGCCGGCGCCAGCCGACCCCCAACCUUUAAUUAUCUCAGGUUGACCUCGGAUCAGGUAGGGAUACCCGCUGAACU